AAAAAAAAAAACACUGGAAGGAAGGAAAUGUGUCUGUACAGAAAGUGAUUUGUAAGGAGCCUUUAGGCCCAGCAGUGGAAAUUCUGCAUAUUGGAGGAGCUGGGAGGAACUGAAGGCCCUCCAAAGAAAAGUCUGUUCAAUAAGCUAAGUGUUUCUGCUAGGUUAGGGCACUGGGUUGGCCUGUGAUAGAGGAGAAGGGUGCUGGAUGACCAUGUAAGAAAAAGCAGUUCAGCUUUAGAAAAGCCACCAAACUGCUGAAGUGCCACAGGUGAUGCCAGGGUUAGAGGGGAUGUCAAGAAGAGAGGAGAGGCAUCUCAAAAUGGCAGCCAAGGAAGAAACCAGUGAGUCCCCUUUCUCUCAAAGCAUCUGUGCUAGAGAAGAACAGUGACAGAGCACCUGAGACGCAGAGAGCCGUUUUCGUCUUCCUGCGACCUUGCUGCUUUGUGGCAGGAAAGGUGAGCACAAAGCCAGGCGCUGUGUGCAGGCAGCAACGGGCUGCCCCCCACCAUUCCCCAGCUGCCCCUCAUCCUCUGCCUGCUCUGAGCCCCUGUUGCACACAGGCACGUGCCUGCCAGGAGCACCGUUCUUGCCUACAAAAUACACACGUGCGUGCUCGUGCAUUGCAGCCACACAGCAAAAGCAGCAACUCUAGCAGCAAACCCAGUCGUGUUCAUGUUCGUUUCUUUUUUUUCUCCUGAAAAGCUCCCUGAAACAUGCAGACUUCAGUGAAACAACACCUGUGUGCAAACCGCAGUGGGGGUCGGAGCAAGGAAAGAAAGCCCCAUCUCAGCAAGCAAGAACGUCAGGUUAAAAGCAGCACCAGGCUUGGCUGUCUUUUUGAGACACCACUGCACGCUGGCUCUGUUUGAGCCGAUGCUGGUUGAAUGUGGCUGCUUGAAAAGCUUCAUCUUCAGAAAGCUGAAGGCAUUGUGCCAGAGAUCCCGCACAUCAGGCUUCAAACCCAAGCUGUCAGGAUUGGGAAAUUUACAGAGCUCAGCUGCACCGAGGGACAGCUGGGUGCAACGCCGAUCUAAUCCAGAUUAUAAAGCUCCUGGGGUUUGCUCAGAGGGAAUUUCGAUGCGUGCAGUCACAGCAUAGCACCCCUGCCGCGAUUCUUUUCUGGCAGUAUGAGCAUCCGUGGUCUUUCCCCAUCUCACGUGUGCAGAUGUGUGCUCUUUCCAUCGUUUCCUCCUUGCUUCUCAUGGGAGCUUGCAGAUUCAAGCAUGAAAUCUGUACAAACAAAU
rnacentral:lncRNA from 1 species